UACGUAGGGUGCAAGCGUUAAUCGGAAUUACUGGGCGUAAAGCGUGCGCAGGCGGUGAUGUAAGACAGUUGUGAAAUCCCCGGGCUCAACCUGGGAACUGCAUCUGUGACUGCAUCGCUGGAGUGCGGCAGAGGGGGAUGGAAUUCCGCGUGUAGCAGUGAAAUGCGUAGAUAUGCGGAGGAACACCGAUGGCGAAGGCAAUCCCCUGGGCCUGCACUGACGCUCAGUGCACGAAAGCGUGGGGAGCAAACAGG
rnacentral:rRNA from 1 species